rnacentral:misc_RNA from 1 species
GAUGAAGAACGUAGUGAAAUGCGAUAAUUAAUGUGAAUUGCAGAAUUCAGUGAAUCAUCGAGUCUUUGAACGCACAUUGCGCCCCCUGGUAUUCCGGGGGGCAUGCCUGUCCGAGCGUCAUUUCAACCCUCAGGGCCCGCCUGCUUCGGCAGGCGCGGCGCUGGUGUUGGGGAUCGGCCUAACCGCCGUCCCCCAAAUACAGUGGCGGUCUCGCUGCAGCCUCCCCUGCGUAGUAGCAACACUCGCAUGCGGAGCGCGGCGCGGCCACGCCGUAAAACCCCCGACUUUCUGAACGUUGACCUCGGAUCAGGUAGGAAUACCCGCUGAACUUAAGCAUAUCAAUAAGCGGAGGA